GCGGGCGGAUCGGGCGGCGGCCGCGGCUGUCGGUGCGGUGCCGGGGGGCUCCUCACACGCUGUAAAAUCACCACAAAUGGAGUCUUUCCGUGCGGUGAGACCACCACGGAUGGGCCAGGAUCUGCAAAAGAGCCCAGCGUUCUGCUCUGCCCUGUCCAAGAUUUUCAAGUGUGUUUAGAAAGACACCCGACUGCUGCGUUUGAGGAGUGUCUGUGCCACUUCUGUGUCCUGUGUGUUGUAAACUGUGAGUAUUUGUUACGCCUGCACAUAGCUACACUAGAGCUGGACUUCUGGAGAACCUGGAGUUUACUUUUACCUCAGACCUCCAGGAGGGGGAUUUGCAGCACUGGGAAACGUGUGACCAAGCCAGCGCUCGGGCUCGGGAAGCGCCGGGUGCCCGAGAGAGGAAGAGGAGAUAAAGCAGGAGGGUGCUGCAGGGUCAGCCCUGGUGCCACGUGUGUUUACUCUGUCCUGAAAUGCCUCUGUGAAGAGAAGGGAAAGAUUUGGGAAGGGAGAGGAGGGUAAUCCUACAGCGUGGAUGAUGAAAUAAUGUAGGGAGCCGGUGUCGGAACGCAGCAGGGCUGGUGUGGAUCAGCCUCAUGGCUGGUCAGGAACUUGUUGAUCAUUGCAGGCAGGAUUAAGGCCACAAAACCAAAGGACAAGAACAAUUGUGGAAAUCACACAGAAGCACAAUGCUCAAGGAAAGGCUUGGAGGGGAGGAGGGGUCAAGGAGGGAAAUAAGGACACGGCCAGAGUCCACACAGCAUUUGGCAGCAGCAGCAAGGAAAUCUUGGGAGAUACUGCGAGAGGCUGGGAAGAGACAAGUUCUGGCAACACAAUACAAGGUUGUGUUUAAAGAAAUAAACCAAGUUCCUAUUUUGCUUACAGCCCCCCAGCAUCUGGAUUAAUUUAUGGAGGUGAGUGGAGGUGUGGUGUAACUGACACCUGUUUGCAGAUUAUCAAAGGGUAUUGGAAAAGUGAUAAAUGAGCAUCAGAAAUGAUGGACGAUGUGGAGAGCAGAUACAAAUUCUCAAGAAGAGUUGGCCAUGCUGGUCUUUCAGAGUUUACCAAGAAAAACCACGGAAAGGCACUGGAAUCUCCCAAGGCAUCUAAUGUGCCACAGAGCAAGGGAUUGAUGGCUGUGAAUAACCCACUUAAUAAUCCGAAUUGGAGCAAUCACAGAUGGACUGAUGCUCAUUAGGGAAAGAGAACAGAAGCGAUUUGGAGAGAACAUUUUCACACGAGGAGUACUUGAAAUGAGCCUGUGGAAUGAAGUGCCAAAGGCAGGGAGGCCCCAGGAUGUGUAAAUCCAUGCUGGGGAGUGUCAGGCACCGCUCGGGGAUGGGGUGAGAAGGAAGGGGCACCACCAGGGACACUCGUGCAGUUGAGCUGUUUCAUGGGUGCACAGAGACUCUCUGAAGGCCAAACCACACCAUAUGUUACACUUCUGGACUUCAAUGUUCCCACAUAAAAUUUUCUCUCACUGCUGCUUGGUAGAGAGCAGCCAAAUUUAAAUUACUAUUAUUAAAUACAAUUAGCAUUACAGCACUGAUUCUGUACUGUAUUUUGAAAAAUUCAUUUGCCCCUUUUAUGAAAAGCAAAGCACUUAAAAUGCUUCCAUUUCUGGGAAAUAACAGGAUGGAUUUGUUUUCCUAUUACAGUUUUUCCACAUUUUAAUAAAGAGCAUUUGUACUUUUAUUCUCUCUAAGUAUUAUAGAAGGUAUGGUUUAUUUGCUCCUUACCAGUUAUAGAGUGAUGGAAAUAUAAACCAGAUUUGAAACAACAUCUUGCAAGGAGAUCAGAGACUUUCCAAAGGAAGCAGUUUGUAAAUCACAGGUAUUUUACACCUUUUUUCGCCUUCAAAUUCAAAACCAGAAUUCCAAACAAUCCCACUAGGCAGAAAUAUGGGUUUAUGUUUUAGUUGUUAAAAAAAAUAAAUCAACCUGUCUGGUUUAAAGUUCUACUAAAAAUGAGCAGUGCAACUAUUUUAUAUCUUAAAAUAAAAUUUAGAAAAAGCACCAUGACAACUUUAACUGGAAUAAAAAAAUAAU